rnacentral:rRNA from 1 species
GGGCCCGCACAAGCGGUGGAGUAUGUGGUUUAAUUCGAUGAUACGCGAGGAACCUUACCAGGGCUUAAAUGUAAGUUGCAUAGAUCAGAGAUGGUCUUUUCUUCGGACUACUUACAAGGUGCUGCAUGGUUGUCGUCAGCUCGUGCCGUGAGGUGUCAGGUUAAGUCCUAUAACGAGCGCAACCCCUGUCGUUAGUUGCCAGCAAGUUAAGUUGGGCACUCUAGCGAGACUGCCGGUGCAAACCGAGAGGAAGGUGGGGAUGACGUCAAAUCAUCACGGCCCUUACGUCCUGGGCUACACACGUGCUACAAUGGCCGGUACAGAGAGCAGCCACUACGCGAGUAGGAGCG